UCUACGGGAGGCAGCAGUGGGGGAUAUUGCACAAUGGGGGAAACCCUGAUGCAGCGACGCCGCGUGUGGGAAGACGGUCCUCUGGAUUGUAAACCACUGUCCCCAGGGACGAAGAUGACGGUACCUGGGGAGGAAGCUCCGGCUAACUACGUGCCAGCAGCCGCGGUAAUACGUAGGGAGCGAGCGUUGUCCGGAAUUACUGGGUGUAAAGGGAGCGUAGGCGGGACUGCAAGUUGGGUGUCAAAUCUACCGGCUCAACCGGUAGCCGCACUCAAAACUGCAGUUCUUGAGGGAAGUAGAGGCAGGCGGAAUUCGUGGUGUAGCGGUGAAAUGCGUAGAUAUUAGGAGGAACACCAGUGGCGAAGGCGGCCUGCUGGGCUUUUACUGACGCUGAGGCUCGAGAGUGUGGGGAGCAAACAGGAUUAGAUACCCCUGUAGUC
rnacentral:rRNA from 1 species